GUAGGGAAUAUUGGACAAUGGGGGGAACCCUGAUCCAGCCAUGCCGCGUGUGUGAAGAAGGCCUUUUGGUUGUAAAGCACUUUAAGCGAGGAGGAGGCUACCGAGAUUAAUACUCUUGGAUAGUGGACGUUACUCGCAGAAUAAGCACCGGCUAACUCUGUGCCAGCAGCCGCGGUAAUACAGAGGGUGCAAGCGUUAAUCGGAUUUACUGGGCGUAAAGCGCGCGUAGGUGGCCAAUUAAGUCAAAUGUGAAAUCCCCGAGCUUAACUUGGGAAUUGCAUUCGAUACUGGUUGGCUAGAGUAUGGGAGAGGAUGGUAGAAUUCCAGGUGUAGCGGUGAAAUGCGUAGAGAUCUGGAGGAAUACCGAUGGCGAAGGCAGCCAUCUGGCCUAAUACUGACACUGAGGUGCGAAAGCAUGGGGAGCAAACAGGAUUAGAAACCCCAGUAGUCC
rnacentral:rRNA from 1 species